CCUACGGGCGGCAGCAGUGGGGAAUAUUGGACAAUGGGCGAAAGCCUGAUCCAGCCAUGCCGCGUGUGUGAAGAAGGCCUUCGGGUUGUAAAGCACUUUCAGUGGGGAAGAAAGCCUUGGGGCUAAUACCCUCGAGGAAGGACAUCACCCACAGAAGAAGCACCGGCUAACUCCGUGCCAGCAGCCGCGGUAAUACGGAGGGUGCGAGCGUUAAUCGGAAUUACUGGGCGUAAAGCGCGCGUAGGCGGUCUGAUAAGCCGGUUGUGAAAGCCCCGGGCUCAACCUGGGAACGGCAUCCGGAACGGUCAGGCUAGAGUGCAGGAGAGGAAGGUAGAAUUCCCGGUGUAGCGGUGAAAUGCGUAGAGAUCGGGAGGAAUACCAGUGGCGACGGCGGCCUUCUGGACUGACACUGCCGCUGAGGUUCGAAAGCGUGGGUAGCAAACAGGACUAGAUACCCGGGUAGUC
rnacentral:rRNA from 1 species